UACAGAGGUCCCAAGCGUUGUUCGGAUUCACUGGGCGUAAAGGGUGCGUAGGCGGCCGGGUAAGUCUGAUGUGAAAUCCCGCAGCUCAACUGCGGAACUGCAUCGGAUACUCUCCGGCUAGAGGAAUGGAGGGGAGACUGGAAUUCUCGGUGUAGCAGUGAAAUGCGUAGAUAUCGAGAGGAACACCAGUGGCGAAGGCGAGUCUCUGGACAUCUCCUAACGCUGAGGCACGAAAGCCAGGGGAGCAAACGGG
rnacentral:rRNA from 1 species